rnacentral:rRNA from 1 species
GACGGAGGGUGCUAGCGUUGUUCGGAAUUACUGGGCGUAAAGGGCGCGUAGGCGGCCGUUUGCGUCGGAUGUGAAAGCCCGGGGCUCAACCUCGGAACGGCAUUCGAUACGGGACGGCUGGAGACCGGGAGAGGAGAGUGGAAUAGCCAGUGUAGAGGUGAAAUUCGUAGAUAUUGGCUGGAACACCGGUGGCGAAAGCGGCUCUCUGGCCCGGUUCUGACGCUGAGGCGCGAAAGCGUGGGGAGCAAACAGG